ACGUUGGUGUGCAGGUGAUCAAAGUUUUGAAAGCUAAAGUUCUUUUUUCCAGCAAGUAAAAAAACCGUCUACUCGUUAGUUCAGGAGGAGUCCAACACUGGAACCCAUGCUGGAGAUUUGAAAAAGGAGUGGAACGCAUGGACGUUUUCAACACCAUCCUCUGGGGGCUAUCUUUUGGAAAGCUGCUUUUGGCAAAGGCCGGACCGCCUGGAGAUGAUAAAUUGGAAACCAUCCAACUAGCAUCUGCCCUAGCUUGGCAUAACUCAGGAAACGAUCUAAGGAAGCAUCGAGCUCUAUCCAUCCUGGCCUGACCAACCGCUACCAGAUUCAAUUCUACACAGAUUUUGUCAGCCCGAAUAAAUAAAACUUUGAACCUUUUUACUGUUG